GUCUACGGCCAUGCUGCCCUGGACGUGCCCGAUCUUGUCUGAUCUCGGAAGCCAAGCAGAGUCGGGCCUGGUUAGUACUUGGAUGGGAGACCACCUAGGAAGACCAGGUGCUGUAGGCG
rnacentral:rRNA from 1 species